CCAGUGCUAGCUUUGUGGUUAAGGCAUUGGACUUCUGACCAGAAGAUCAUGAGUUCAAAUCCCAUCAACUGCU